CUAAAACAAUGUCAAUAGUUUUCAUCAACAGCAGUACCUAGUUAGUAAGUAUCGAUACUCUGGGUCUGAAUGG